GAUGAACGCUGGCGGCGUGCCUAAUACAUGCAAGUCGAGCGAACGGACGAGAAGCUUGCUUCUCUGAUGUUAGCGGCGGACGGGUGAGUAACACGUGGAUAACCUACCUAUAAGACUGGGAUAACUUCGGGAAACCGGAGCUAAUACCGGAUGAUAUUUUGAACCGCAUGGUUCAAAAGUGAAAGACGGUCUUGCUGUCACUUAUAGAUGGAUCCGCGCUGCAUUAGCUAGUUGGUAAGGUAACGGCUUACCAAGGCAACGAUGCAUAGCCGACCUGAGAGGGUGAUCGGCCACACUGGAACUGAGACACGGUCCAGACUCCUACGGGAGGCAGCAGUAGGGAAUCUUCCGCAAUGGGCGAAAGCCUGACGGUGCAACGCCGUGUGAGUGAUGAAGGUCUUCGGAUCGUAAAACUCUGUUAUUAGGGAAGAACAUAUGUGUAAGUAACUGUGCACAUCUUGACGGUACCUAAUCAGAAAGCCACGGCUAACUACGUG
rnacentral:rRNA from 1 species